GGCUCGUUGGUCUAGGGGUAUGAUUCUCGCUUCGGGUGUGAGAGGUCCUGGGUUCAAAUCCCGGAAGAGCCC
rnacentral:tRNA from 2 species